rnacentral:lncRNA from 10 species
AGCUUGGACUUCCCCGUUUCUCCAUCUACUUGACUUCCUUUUUCCUGGGGAGGAAGGAGGUGGGGGUGAGCAGGGGCAGGUGACCGUCUGGUCCCCUAGUUAAUGCUCUGCUGGGUGGCUGCCUUCCUGGCCUCCGAAUGGGGCACUGGACCUGUUCGUGCAUGCACCAAAUGUCACCUGUCUGGUAACAGCCCCCCCGCCCCUGUUCCAUGUUGGGAGUCUACUUCAUCGUUGAAACACAGAAAAGAUCUUGCAGGGUGCCUUUUCGCCCGUUUAGCUGGCAGCUGCCGUUGUACCGACACCGUUUCCGCAGGUUCUGUGAUUCUGUUUCCCCUCACCCAGCUGCUGUCGAAAAUCAUUUCUUUCCUCCCAAUGUCUCCUGAUGACAAAGGAGUGCCACUACCUUCUCCUGGCUUCUUCUCCCAAGGGCCUUUCCUCAGAAAGGGUUAGGCCUCACUGAAGCAAUUCUCCAAAGGAGAUGGACGAAUGCAAACUUGGAAAUGUCUGGAGAAGUUUUCCAGUGCGGUAGCAAGCAGCCUUCCACUGUGCUGAGACACUGAUGGAGGGCAGGUGGAAACAGAGAGGAAGAGAAAGAGAGACGACUGCUUAAAGGAAAAGAGUUCCCAUGAUUGGGACUGACCUGCCAACCGGUCAGGAGACCUAGAGAGACAGGAAAGGGAAGGGUGGUGCAGAUACAAGGAAAUGCAAACCAAAGGAAUAUUCUUAAAAGUUGCAUGACUCUGGCCAUGUGAAUGAAUCUUUCUGUGCUGGAGUUUUCUCAUCUGUAAAAUGGGUUCAUUGCAACACCGACCUCACAGGGUUGUUGGGAGGAGUAAAUGCUUCGGACAGUGCAUGACAAUUAGUAAGCUCUUUCUAUUGUUAUUAUUCGUAUGAUUUAGGAUGGAAGGUUGAGGAAAAAUAAUAAAAUAAUUGUCUUAGUGUUUAGAAUUAAUUAAAAAUUUUAGGUGUCUUGAUAUUAUUUCUCCUAUAGAGACAUUUAUAUAUUAUUAUAUAUUAUUUCUAUAUAAUUAAUACAUAUGAAUAUAUAUUAUUAUUUUCACUUACAAAAUGUUGAUAGAAGAUCUUUUGGUAGUUUUACAGCAAAUAAAACAUGACA